UACGAAGGGGGCUAGCGUUGUUCGGAAUUACUGGGCGUAAAGCGCGCGCAGGCGGCUCUUUAAGUCCGGGGUGAAAGCCCAGAGCUCAACUCUGGAAUUGCCUUUGAAACUAGAGAACUUGGGUACGGGAGAGGUGAGUGGAAUUCCGAGUGUAGAGGUGAAAUUCGUAGAUAUUCGGAAGAACACCAGUGGCGAAGGCGGCUCACUGGCCCGUUACCGACGCUCAGGCGCGACAGCGUGGGGAGCAAACAGG
rnacentral:rRNA from 1 species